rnacentral:sRNA from 1 species
UUCAGUCCAGGGCAGCUUCCCUGUUCUGUUAAUUAAACUUUGGGACAUUAAAAUGGGCUAAGGGAGAUGAUUGGGUAGAAAGUAUUAUUCUAUUCAUUUGCCUCCCAGCCUACAAAAAUGCCUGCUUGGGGUCUGAUACUUCAACGGUUAAAGAUGCGACCACAUGGUGACAAUGCACGAUGUGCUUGAUGCUCAGUGGCUGUAUGAUAACCACAAGGAUGAGAGUUACCUGCGGCGAGUUGUUUACCCUUUGGAAAAGCUGUUGACAUCUCAUAAACGGCUGGUUAUGAAAGACAGUGCAGUAAAUGCCAUCUGCUAUGGGGCCAAGAUCAUGCUUCCAGGUGUUCUUCGAUAUGAGGACGGCAUUGAGGUCAAUCAGGAGAUUGUGGUUAUCACCACCAAAGGAGAAGCAAUCUGCAUGGCUAUUGCAUUAAUGACCACAGCGGUCAUCUCUACCUGCGACCAUGGUAUAGUAGCCAAGAUCAAGAGAGUGAUCAUGGAGAGAGACACUUACCCUCGGAAGUGGGGUUUAGGUCCAAAGGCAAGUCAGAAGAAGCUGAUGAUCAAGCAGGGCCUUCUGGACAAGCAUGGGAAGCCCACAGACAGCACACCUGCCACCUGGAAGCAGGAGUAUGUUGACUACAGUGAGUCUGCCAAAAAAGAGGUGGUUGCUGAAGUGGUAAAAGCCCCGCAGGUAGUUGCCGAAGCAGCAAAAACUGCGAAGCGGAAGCGAGAGAGUGAGAGUGAAAGUGAUGAGACUCCUCCAGCAGCUCCUCAGCUGAUCAAGAAGGAAAAGAAG